rnacentral:rRNA from 1 species
UCCUAAGGUAGCGAAAUUCCUUGUCGGGUAAGUUCCGACCCGCACGAAAGGCGUAACGAUUUGGGCACUGUCUCAACGAGAGACUCGGUGAAAUCAUAGUACCUGUGAAGAUGCAGGUUACCCGCGACAGGACGGAAAGACCCCGUGGAGCUUUACUGUAGCCUGAUAUUGAAAUUCGGCACAGCUUGUACAGGAUAGGUAGGAGCCUUUGAAACGUGAGCGCUAGCUUACGUGGAGGCGUUGGUGGGAUACUACCCUAGCUGUGUUGGCUUUCUAACCCGCACCACUUAUCGUGGUGGGAGACAGUGUCAGGCGGGCAGUUUGACUGGGGCGGUCGCCUCCUAAAAGGUAACGGAGGCGCUCAAAGGUUCCCUCAGAAUGGUUGGAAAUCAUUCAUAGAGUGUAAAGGCAUAAGGGAGCUUGACUGCGAGACCUACAAGUCGAGCAGGGUCGAAAGACGGACUUAGUGAUCCGGUGGUUCCGCAUGGAAGGGCCAUCGCUCAACGGAUAAAAGCUACCCCGGGGAUAACAGGCUUAUCUCCCCCAAGAGUUCACAUCGACGGGGAGGUUUGGCACCUCGAUGUCGGCUCAUCGCAUCCUGGGGCUGUAGUCGGUCCCAAGGGUUGGGCUGUUCGCCCAUUAAAGCGGUACGCGAGCUGGGUUCAGAACGUCGUGAGACAGUUCGGUCCCUAUCCGUCGUGGGCGUAGGAAAUUUGAGAGGAGCUGUCCUUAGUACGAGAGGACCGGGAUGGACAUACCUCUGGUGUACCAGUUGUCGUGCCAACGGCAUAGCUGGGUAGCUAUGUAUGGACGGGAUAAGUGCUGAAAGCAUCUAAGCAUGAAGCCCCCCUCAAGAUGAGAUUUCCCAACUUCGGUUAUAAGAUCCCUCAAAGAUGAUGAGGUUAAUAGGUUCGAGGUGGAAGCAUGGUGACAUGUGGAGCUGACGAAUACUAAUCGAUCGAAGACUUAAUCAA